AUAACGGUCCUAAGGUAGCGAAAUUCCUUGUCGGGUAAGUUCCGACCCGCACGAAUGGUGUAACGAUCUGGGCACUGUCUCAACUACCCACCCGGCGAAAUUGUAGUACCGGUGAAGAUGCCGGUUACCCGCGGCAAGACGGAAAGACCCCAUGGAGCUUUACUGUAGCCUGAUAUUGGGUUUCGGUAUUCUAUGUACAGGAUAGGCGGGAGACUGGGAACCGAUGGCGUCAGCUGUCGGGGAGUCACCCUUGGGAUACCGCUCUUAGAGUACUGGAAUUCUAACCUGCGGCCGUGAAUCCGGCCGGGGGACAUUGUCAGGUGGGCAGUUUGACUGGGGCGGUCGCCUCCAAAAAGGUAACGGAGGCGCUCAAAGGUUCGCUCAGCACGGACGGAAACCGUGCCUCUGAGUGCAAACGCAAAAGCGAGCCUAACUGCGAGGCUGACGGGCCGAGCAGUAACGAAAGUUGGAGUUAGUGAUCCGGCGGUAUGUGAGUGGAAAUGCCGUCGCUCAACGGAUAAAAGCUACCCUGGGGAUAACAGGCUGAUCUCCCCCAAGAGUCCACAUCGACGGGGAGGUUUGGCACCUCGAUGUCGGCUCAUCACAUCCUGGGGCUGAAUUCGGUCCCAAGGGUUCGGCUGUUCGCCGAUUAAAGUGGCACGCGAGCUGGGUUCAGAACGUCGUGAGACAGUUCGGUCCCUAUCUGUUGCGGGCGCAGGAAUAUUGAGAGGAGCUGUCCUUAGUACGAGAGGACCGGGAUGGACGUACCGCUGGUGCACCAGUUGUUCUGCCAAGGGCAUAGCUGGGUAGCUAAGUACGGACGAGAUAAACGCUGAAGGCAUCUAAGCGUGAAACUCCCCUCGAGAUAAGUGUUCCCAUCCUUCGGGAGUAAGGCCCCUUGUAGACUACAAGGUUGAUAGGUCAGGAGUGGAAGUGCAGUAAUGUAUGGAGCGGACUGAUACUAAUAGGCCGAGGGCUUGACCU
rnacentral:rRNA from 1 species